AGAGAGAGACAUGCGCGCAUAUCAAUAAGCGGAGGAAAAGAAACUAACAAGGAUUCCCUUAGUAACGGCGAGUGAAGCGGGAAGAGCUCAAAUUUGAAAUCUUCAAGGUUCUACCUUGACGAAUUGUAGUUUAUAGAAGUGUUUUCUGUUAGUGGAGUGGCAAAAGUUCCUUGGAAUAGGACAUCAUAGAGGGUGAGAAUCCCGUAUUUGGUCAUUCCUCCUAGCGUUGUGAUACACUUUCAACGAGUCGGAUUGUUUGGGAAUGCAGUCCAAAAUGGGUGGUAAAUUUCAUCUAAAGCUAAAUAUUGGCGAGAGACCGAUAGCGAACAAGUACCGUGAGGGAAAGAUGAAAAGAACUUUGAAAAGAGAGUUAAACAGUACGUGAAAUUGUCAAAAGGGAAGCGUUUGACACCAGUGUUGUUUUUCCGAAAAUCAAUUACGAAUGUUUUAUUUUCGAGGAGUUAUGACUUCAUCGGCUUGCUCCUUUCUUUAUGAAACUUUCUUAAUGCACUUUUCGGUUAACAAGUCAACAUCAAUUUCUUUUGUUGUAAAAGGGUAUGAGGAAGGUGGCUUUCUUUUCGGAGAAAGUGUUCAUAGCCUUGUGCCUCUGCAAUCGGAGAGAUUGAGGUCUGCAGCGUAGAUCCUUCGGGGUUAGAUACGUUUGUGCUAAGUUAUAGCUUUUCAUAGACAACUUGUUGACUAUGUUUAGUCUUGUAGCUUACUCGCUGACGCUAUUUUACCUACGCUUAGGAUGUUGAUAGUCACAGCGUGUAC
rnacentral:rRNA from 1 species